CAAUUUAACUGUUAUAAUCUCAUUUAACUCCGUUAUUAACUGUUUUAGAAUUCAACCGCUAAAUUCCUCCCUCGUUCCGCUAUUUAAAACACUGCAGAACUGUUAAAUAAUUAAUAGUCUGAAAGAAUUAUUUAUAGUUUACGGAGUGUUCUUUCCUUAACGUCGUCACGGGCCAUGGAACAAGGCUGCGUAGCCACCGGCCGUGGUGAGGACCGCCAUGGCCCACACGGCGGCGGCGACAGGCCAGGACGGCAUCGCCGCCGCCACCUUCCACGAGAACAGCACGGUGAGCAGCGUGCACAGCGCCCACACCUCGCGCCUCAGCCGCGCCCUUUGGUCGGCAGCUUCCCAAGGCGGCGGCAAGCGCUCGUACGCGCGGAGGCUGCGAAAGAGCAGCAGUAGCGAGGCGUAGCUUACGGCGACGAACGCCGUGGAGGCGAGGUCGCCCGCGGCGGCGGCUCUGUAUGCGGACACGGCGGACGUCAGGGUUAAAGCGAUCAGCCCCGUGCGGACGAGAACCGCCGUGCCAUCAGCGCCGCCUCUUUGUUCUCGUUCCAUAUCGAGCUAUGAUCGAAUCGAAUGCUCCCUGUUCUUACGGCAGGGGGAAAU
rnacentral:lncRNA from 1 species